rnacentral:rRNA from 1 species
AGAGUUUGAUCAUGGCUCAGAUUGAACGCUGGCGGCACGCCUAACACAUGCAAGUCGAGCGGCAACAGGUGUAGUAGCAAUACUACAUGCUGGCGAGCGGCGGACGGGUGAGGAACACGUAGGAACUUGCCCUUUAGAGUGGGAUAACCAAGGGAAACUUUGGCUAAUACCGCAUACACUCGAGAGAGGAAAGCUGCCGCAAGGUAGCGCUAGAGGAGAGGCCUGCGUCUGAUUAGCUAGUUGGUGGGGUAAGAGCCUGCCGAGGCGAUGAUCAGUAACUGGUCUGAGAGGACGACCAGUCACACUGGGACUGAGACACGGCCCAGACUCCUACGGGAGGCAGCAGUGGGGAAUCUUGGACAAUGGGGGCAACCCUGAUCCAGCGAUGCCGCGUGAGUGAAGAAGGCCUUCGGGUCGUAAAGCUCUUUAGGUUGGGAAGAAGUGUGUGAGAGGAAAUGCUCAUAUAUUGACGGUACCGACAGAAUAAGCACCGGCAAACUCUGUGCCAGCAGCCGCGGUAAUACAGAGGGUGCGAGCGUUAAUCGGAAUUACUGGGCGUAAAGGGUGCGUAGGUUGUUGUAUGUGGGUUGUGUGAAAGCCCCGGGCUUAACCUGGGAAGUGCAUAGCAGACUAUACGACUAGAGUACAAGAGAGGGUAGUGGAAUUUCCGGUGUAGCGGUGAAAUGCGUAGAUAUCGGAAGGAACGUCAAUGGCGAAGGCAGCUACCUGGCUUGAUACUGACACUGAGGCACGAAAGCGUGGGGGGCGAACGGGAUUAGAUACCCUGGUAGUCCACGCUGUAAACGAUGAGGACUAAAUGUUGGGAGGGGAACCUUUCAGUAUUGAAGCUAACGCGAUAAGUCUUCUGCCUGGGAAGUACGGCCGCAAGGUUGAAACUCAAAUGAAUUGACGGGGGCCCGCACAAGCGGUGGAGCAUGUGGUUUAAUUCGAUGCAACGCGAAGAACCUUACCUACCCUUGACAUCCUGCGAAUCCGAAUGAGAGUUUGGAGUGCCGAAAGGAGCGCAGAGACAGGUGCUGCAUGGCUGUCGUCAGCUCGUGUUGUGAGAUGUUGGGUUAAGUCCCGUAACGAGCGCAACCCUUGUCCUUAGUUACCAUCAAGUAAAGUUGGGGACUCUAAGGAGACUGCCGGUGAUGAACCGGAGGAAGGCGGGGACGACGUCAAGUCAUCAUGGCCUUUAUGGGUAGGGCUACACACGUGCUACAAUGGGUCGUACAGAGGGUAGCCAACCCGCGAGGGGGAGCCAAUCUCAAAAAGCGACUCGUAGUCCGGAUUGAAGUCUGCAAUUCGACUUCAUGAAGU